rnacentral:rRNA from 1 species
AUUGAACGCUGGCGGCAUGCCUUACACAUGCAAGUCGAACGGCAGCACGGGAGCAAUCCUGGUGGCGAGUGGCGAACGGGUGAGUAAAGUAUCGGAACGUGCCCAGUCGUGGGGGAUAACGUAGCGAAAGUUACGCUAAUACCGCAUACGAUCUAUGGACGAAAGCGGGGGAUCGCAAGACCUCGCGCGAUUGGAGCGGCCGGAUAUCAGAUUAGGUAGUUGGGGGGGAAAAGGCUCACCAAGCCGACGAUCUGUAGCUGGUCGGAGAGGACGACCAGCCACACUGGGACUGAGACACGGCCCAGACUCCUACGGGAGGCAGCAGUGGGGAAUUUUGGACAAUGGGCGAAAGCCUGAUCCAGCCAUGCCGCGUGCAGGAUGAAGGCCUUCGGGUUGUAAACUGCUUUUGUACGGAACGAAAAGGUUUGGCCUAAUAAGCUGAGCUCAUGACGGUACCGUAAGAAUAAGCACCGGCUAACUACGUGCCAGCCGCCGCCGUAA